UGGGGAAUUUUGGACAAUGGGCGAAAGCCUGAUCCAGCAAUGCCGCGUGUGUGAAGAAGGCCUUCGGGUUGUAAAGCACUUUUGUCCGGAAAGAAAUGGCUCUGGUUAAUACCUGGGGUCGAUGACGGUACCGGAAGAAUAAGGACCGGCUAACUACGUGCCAGCAGCCGCGGUAAUACGUAGGGUCCAAGCGUUAAUCGGAAUUACUGGGCGUAAAGCGUGCGCAGGCGGUUGUGCAAGACCGAUGUGAAAUCCCCGAGNUUAACUUGGGAAUUGCAUUGGUGACUGCACGGCUAGAGUGUGUCAGAGGGGGGUAGAAUUCCACGUGUAGCAGUGAAAUGCGUAGAGAUGUGGAGGAAUACCGAUGGCGAAGGCAGCCCCCUGGGAUAACACUGACGCUCAUGCACGAAAGCGUGGGGAGCAAACAGGAUUAGAUACCCUGGUAGUCC
rnacentral:rRNA from 1 species